rnacentral:rRNA from 1 species
CCCUUAGAUGUUCUGGGCCGCACGCGCGCUACACUGAUGAAUUCAACGAGCUCCUAACCUAGGCCGAAGGGUCCGGGUAAUCUUUGAAAUUUCAUCGUGAUGGGGAUAGAUUAUUGCAAUUAUUAAUCUUCAACGAGGAAUUCCUAGUAAGCGCGAGUCAUCAGCUCGCGUUGAUUACGUCCCUGCCCUUUGUACACACCGCCCGUCGCUCCUACCGAUUGAAUGGUCCGGUGUAAUGUUCGGACCGCGACAAGGCGGACGGUUCGCUGUCAGCUUUGCUGCGGGAAGUUCAUUAAACCUUAUCAUUUAGAGGAAGGAGAAGUCGUANCA